ACACGUCUACAUUAGAUACCCCUGUAGUCCCAGCCGUAAACUAUGCGCGUUAGGUGUAUCGGUGACCACGAGUCACCGAGGUGCCGAAGGGAAACCGUGAAACGUGCCGCCUGGGAAGUACGGUCGCAAGGCUGAAACUUAAAGGAAUUGGCGGGGGGAGCACCACAACGGGUGGAGCCUGCGGUUUAAUUGGACUCAACGCCGGACAACUCACCGGGGACGACAGCAAUAUGUAGGCCAGGCUGAAGACCUUGCCUGAAUCGCUG
rnacentral:rRNA from 1 species